rnacentral:rRNA from 1 species
GACGAACGCUGGCGGCGUGCUUAACACAUGCAAGUCGAACGGUGAACCUGCUUCGGUGGGGGAUCCGUGGCGAACGGGCGAGUAACACGUGGGCAACCUGCCCUCAGCUCUGGGAUAACUCAAAGAAAUUGGGGCUAAUACUGGAUAUGACCGCUGACCGCAUGGUCUGGUGGUGGAAAGAUUUAUCGGCUGGGGAUGGGCCCGCGGCCUAUCAGCUUGUUGGUGGGGUAGUGGCCUACCAAGGCGACGACGGGUAGCCGGCCUGAGAGGGUGACCGGCCACACUGGGACUGAGACACGGCCCAGACUCCUACGGGAGGCAGCAGUGGGGAAUAUUGCGCAAUGGGCGAAAGCCUGACGCAGCGACGCCGCGUGGGGGAUGACGGCCUUCGGGUUGUAAACCGCUUUCAGCAGUGACGAAGCGAGAGUGACGGUACCUGCAGAAGAAGCACCGGCCAACUACGUG